CGCAGGGAACUCCCCGGGGAGCCGGCCCCAUGCGGGCAGCGCGGAGCCUCCCCGCGCGGCCGCCCGCCUCCCCUUCCCCUCACGCCCCCCCCCUCCCACAGCCGUUACACGGCCGUUAUUCCAACGGCCGCCCCCUCCCCACACACACACGCAGCCCCCCGGGGCCGGUUAACGGCCGGCGGGGCUCGCGCCCACGGGGCCGCCCGCAGCCAAUCAGCGGCCGCGACGUCACGCGGGGAGGGGCGGGGCCGCGCCGGGUCGGGCCGGGGCCGCGCUCCCGCCGCAGCCGGGGGCAGAGCGGCCGUGAGGGGAAUCCCCGCGGCGGGGCGGGGCGGGGCGGGGCCGCGCCUCAUCCUGGCGGGGCACCGCGGCCGGGCCGGUAGCAACGGCGGGUAACUCGGUUGUUUUUACCCACUUCUGUAUUUCAGAGCAGGCUGAAUGUGAAAAUCUCCAGUGCUGAGCAGAGACUCAGCCGGGUGACCCCUCGUGCGCUUCUGAUCCGAGAUAAAUGAGCCCUGUGAGAGCUGCAAGAUCCCCUCUGGCCAUGUUUGUUACAAGGUUCUGAAAGACCCUUACUUUUAGACCUGAGAGCCCUUCGUUCAACACUCUUCUCAAAUAGGCGACUCUCCGUCUUCUGUCAUCUUCCAGUUCAAAGAAAGCUCAGGUGCUGUCGUGUAUAGAGAAUUUCCCAUAUGGACUGGGGAGAGACAGAGGGGCUCACCAGUGACACCUCGAAAAUGGGGGAAAGGGAGAACAUCUUGCCUCCUCAAAGUGGCAGAGGACGCUUUGAGUAAGAAAAAUUACAUUGAAUUGGAGCCGCCUAGAAUUUGGCUGCAUUAACCCAUCUCCUUUAUUCUUCUGGCACCUGCCCUGGGAGCCUUCCCAACCGCACUGGUCGCCCUCUUGGUUUUACAUCUCAGGAGGCUUCCCACAGGCUGGUGCCCCGAGCACCCUGCAGUAACCUUCGCUCACAACUGAUUCAGAGGGAAGUGUGCCACCUACUGAAGGACCUCGGCCACUUUCUAUAUGCCUUGGACGUGCUUUAGUUUCUUUCCUCAACUUUCCAGGUCUUCACACCAGGGUUUUUAAUUAGGAAUUAGUUAUUAGGAGUUAGGCUUAUGAAAGUUAGUAAACUCAGCAAUUGGAAGGUCAUGAAGGUGAACGUGAGGAAAUGCGAUCCAGGCUAGUUCCAUCUAAUCCAUGCGUAAGCACUGUAACUUGAGAUCAAAAUAAAUCCUCUGUCUGAAAGCAACUGUGUUACCCCUACACUGCCACUGUUGCCAAAAGUCAGAUGAAUAUCAAGAAUUGAGGCUAUAACUUCAAGAAAGCUUAGAUUUUAGGGGUAAUCAGUACAACCAAUGGAUGUGUUGGUUACACUGACAUCAUGGUAUUUGCUGUUUAAGUAGCAGCAAGGUGUUUUUUUUUUAACAAAUGAGUGAACAACUUCCUUCACUGUCAGACAGCAGUUCCCUUUGAUAGCACACUCUCUUGAGUUAAUCAUUCGGUUGAACAAGCUCAAAAGAAACUUCAGAGAGUCGUUGCCAUAACUUGUUUGACACACCUACACGGUGUCCUUUGGUUACCCAUGUCUCAUGUUAUGAAGUUCUUCCUACAGGGGAAUGCAUCACUUUUGGAGUAUAACUGAAAUAUCAACAAAGUUGAAACAUUGGCCAGCAUUGUUUCCACUAGAAAUCCAUGUUGUAAUAGCAGAUGAUAAAUAAAUAUUUUAACAAGAUAAUGGCUUUCACUAAAAUCCGUGGGACUAGUGACUGAAAAACUGGUUAUGAGAGCCUUUCAUAUCAGAGUCUGAUUUAAAUUCUUCUCGCGUACAUUAUAGUAGAUGAUCAAAAUAACUACAAUUCUGAUUCACUGAAACUAACAUAUAAUAUGUGUCUUUGAAGCUUAUCACACUUCUGUAUUGGGCGUAUUUAUUCCUGAGAAAUCUUGUUCUGUUUCCACUGGAAAGCAAAAAUGAAAUAAAAUGUUUUAAAGUAA